rnacentral:rRNA from 1 species
AGUGGCGCACGGGUGCGUAACGCGUAUGCAUCUACCUUUUACUAGAGUAUAGCCCAGAGAAAUUUGGAUUAAUCCUCUAUAAUGUUUCAUGACUAAAGUUUUAACGGUAAAAGAUGAGCAUGCGUCCUAUUAGUUUGUAGGUGAGGUAACGGCUCACCUAGACUACGAUAGGUAGGGGCCCUGAGAGGGGGAUCCCCCACACUGGUACUGAGACACGGACCAGACUCCUACGGGAGGCAGCAGUAAGGAAUAUUGGACAAUGGACGAAAGUCUGAUCCAGCCAUGCCGCGUGCAGGAUGAAAGCCUAUGGGUUGUAAACUGCUUUUAUACAGGAAGAAACACUCGUACGUGUACGAGCUUGACGGUACUGUAAGAAUAAGGACCGGCUAACUCCGUGCCAGCAGCCGCGGUAAUACGGAGGGUCCGAGCGUUAUCCGGAAUCAUUGGGUUUAAAGGGUCCGCAGGCGGUCUUUUAAGUCAGAGGUGAAAGCCUACAGCUCAACUGUAGAACGGCCUUUGAUACUGAAAGACUUGAGUUAUUAUGAAGUGGUUAGAAUGUGUGGUGUAGCGGUGAAAUGCAUAGAUAUCACACAGAUACCCGAUUGCGAAGGCAGAUCACUUAUAAUAUACUGACGCUGAUGGACGAAGCAUGAGGAGCGACAGGAUUAGAUACCUUGGAGUCCACGCCCA